AGCGAACGCUGGCGGCAGGCUUAACACAUGCAAGUCGAGCGCCCGUAGCAAUACGGGAGCGGCAGACGGGAGAGUAACACGUGGGAACAUGCCCUUCGGUUCGGAAUAACUCAGGGAAACUUGAGCUAAUACCGGAUACGUCCGUAAGGAGAAAGAUUUAUCGCCGAAGGAUUGGCCCGCGUCCGAUUAGCUUGUUGGUGAGGUAAUGGCUCACCAAGGCGACGAUCGGUAGCUGGCUGAGAGGAUGAUCAGCCUCAC
rnacentral:rRNA from 1 species